CCCGCCGCUCCGUGAGGACGUCGGCACCGGACCGGGGUGCAGCUGCCGGGUAUCCCGAGUCCGUUGCCCGCUCGAAGAAGAAAGCAGCACACGGGAACCGGCAUGCGCUUGGUUUCCUUUCUCCUGCUGCAAAAUCCAGGGAAGUUGUGUUUUCGUGUUUAGCGGCUGUGAGUAACUUUGACCGAAGCAUCCUUCCUUCCUGCCAGUUCUCAAGGAAGGAAUCUCUCCCUUUGGUCUCCGUGCUGACGGAAACUCAUACGGGCUUGGUUACUUCAGCCACUGCUAGGGGAGAGGGGGCAGCGCUGAGCUCUGCUCUCUGUAACAGCGACAGGGCCCGAGGGAGCUGUGUGAGGGGAGGGGGUCAGGACACGGUCUGCACCAGAGGGCUGUGGGCAUGAAAUGCCCAGGGCAGAGAGCACGGCCCAGAGCUGCCAGAAUUCAAGGAGCGUUUGAUAUCACUCUCAGACAUAAGGUCGGAUCCAUAUGUCUCUUCCAACUUAGGAUAUUCUGCGAUUCACCUUUGAAUUUCAAGGUAUUGAACAGCCUCAAACCAUAUGCUCCACUAGCAGUGAACUGCCUCACGCUGACACAGCUUGUUCUUCCUGAGACAAGCUAGCGUUACCUCACUUUUUAUAUUGAUAUAAGUAUAUCUGUACCAGAAAAGCUCAGUGAAUUAACUUUACUACUUCUGGCUACAGAUCACAUAAAAAUAAAUAGUUUCAUUAGUAGUCCUGACAUAGAAAUGUAGCACUUUUUUGGAAACAAAGCAUGAGGUGAAAUUGAAACAGCUGUAUUAUGUGAGAAAGUCCUUGUUUGCUUAUAUAUUCAACUGGAACAUAUACAUCAUAUAUAGAGCUACAUAGUAAUCAAAUUCAAGCACAUAUGUAUAAAAAUAAUGUACAAAUGAAAGACUGUAUAUUUUGCACAUUUCCGUGUCAAGCUCUGUAUAAACAAUUAGGUUCCAGAAGUGCCUAUUAUGUAAGUAGCUUACAUAAAUAAUGUAAUUGGUGACUCACCUAAUACCUGGCAAUGUGUUCUGUUGAAUAAAAGUCCAAAAUUUAUCUAGAAGAUUAAUUAAAAGAAAAUGUCUAAAAGCUGCAAUUUGUGGGUCAGAUGUAAGACAGUCUGUGUUUUUUUUUUUUUAAAUCCACUACUGAGGGGACUUUCCCUUCCUAAGGGGCUGUUCAUAUUCCUUUGCUUGAGCCCCAUAUGAACACAGAUUUCACCACCAUCCAAUAAUCAUCUGAAAAUUGCCUUCAUAGGUGAAGAUUGCUUUGAGAGACAUUACUGGAAGUUACCCAUAGCCCUGCUUUAAUUUGUGCUAACAGCAAGCUUGCCCUGCAGUCCAUGUUCCCUUUAACUCCUGCAGUGCCUCCACUCUGUUUGCACGACAGGGAGAGCAGCAGCCAAGCAGCGUGAGUUCUAGGCAUUUGGAAGGGAAAGUCCUGGAGGUCUGUAUGGGAACUGCUGAGUCACGGCCUGAACCUCUGAUUAAUCACCUGAGGUGAGCCUUGAGUCAGCCAGAGG